CAGUAGCCGCGGGAAUACGUAGGGUGCAAGCGUUAAUCGGAAUUACUGGGCGUAAAGCGUGCGCAGGCGGUUAUAUAAGACAGAUGUGAAAUCCCCGGGCUCAACCUGGAACUGCAUUUGUGACUGUAUAGCUAGAGUACGGCAGAGGGGGAUGGAAUUCCGCGUGUAGCAGUGAAAUGCGUAGAUAUGCGGAGGAACACCGAUGGCGAAGGCAAUCCCCUGGGCCUGUACUGACGCUCAUGCACGAAAGCGUGGGGAGCAAACAGGAUUAGAUACCCCAGUAGUCCCUGUCUCUUAUACA
rnacentral:rRNA from 1 species